GACAGAGGGUGCAAACGUUGUUCGGAAUUACUGGGCGUAAAGCGUGUGUAGGCGGUCCGCUAAGUCGGGUGUGAAAUCCUGGGGCUCAACCUCAGAAUUGCCUCCGAUACUGGCAGUCUCGAGUGCGGGAGAGGUGAGUGGAAUUCCCAGUGUAGAGGUGAAAUUCGUAGAUAUUGGGAAGAACACCAGUGGCGAAGGCGGCUCACUGGCCCGUAACUGACGCUGAGGUGCGAAAGCGUGGGGAGCAAACAGG
rnacentral:rRNA from 1 species